GACGAACGCUGGCGGUGUGCUUAACACAUGCAAGUCGAACGGUGAAGGGACUGGUUUUGCUGGUCCUGGAUGAGUGGCGAACGGGUGAGUAACACGUGAGUAACCUGCCCCCUUCUUCUGGAUAACCGCAUGAAAGUGUGGCUAAUACGGGAUAUUCUGGGUCUGUCGCAUGGUGGGCCUGGGAAAGAUUGCGCCUUUUUUGGUGUUUUUGGUGGGGGAUGGGCUCGCGGCCUAUCAGCUUGUUGGUGGGGUGAUGGCCUACCAAGGCGGUGACGGGUAGCCCGCCUGAGAGGGUGGACGGUCACACUGGGACUGAGACACGGCCCAGACUGCUACGGGAGGCAGUAGUGGGGAAUAUUGCACAAUGGGCGCAAGCCUGAUGCAGCGACGCCGCGUGAGGGAUGGAGGCCUUCGGGUUGGGAACCUCUUUCGCCAGUGAAGCAGGCCUGCCUCUUUUUGUGGGUGGGUUGACGGUAGCUGGAUAAGAAGCGCCGGCUAACUACGUG
rnacentral:rRNA from 1 species